ACGGCUCAGUAACACGUAGAUAACUGCCCUUUGGGUCCGGCAUAACCCCGGGAAACUGGGGAUAAUACCGGAUAACGCACAUAUGCUGGAAUGCUUUAUGCGUAAAAUGGAUUCGUCUGCCCAAGGAUGGGUCUGCGGCCUAUCAGGUAGUAGUGGGUGUAAUGUACCUACUAGCCAACAACGGGUACGGGUUGUGAGAGCAAGAGCCCGGAGAUGGAUUCUGAGACAUGAAUCCAGGCCCUACGGGGCGCAGCAGGCGCGAAAACUUUACAAUGCUGGCAACAGCGAUAAGGGGACCUCGAGUGCCAGGAUACAAUCUUGGCUGUCGUAAUGCCUAAAAAGCAUUGCAUAGCAAGGGCCGGGCAAGACCGGUGCCAGCCGCCGCGGUAACACCGGCGGCUCGAGUGGUAACCGCUAUUAUUGGGUCUAAAGGGUCUGUAGCCGGCCGGAUAAGUCUCUUGGGAAAUCCAGCUGCUCAACAGUUGGGCUUUCAGGAGAUACUGUUCGGCUCGAGGCCGGGAGAGGUGAGAGGUACUUCAGGGGUAGGGGUGAAAUCUUGUAAUCCUUGAAGGACCACCAGUGGCGAAGGCGUCUCACCAGAACGGUCCUGACGGCAAGGGACGAAAGCUAGGGGCACGAACCGGAUUAGAUACCCGGGUAGUCCCAGCUGUAAACGAUGCAGACUCGGUGAUGGGCUGGCUUCGUGCCAACCCGGUGCCGCAGGGAAGCCGUUAAGUCUACCGCCUGGGGAGUACGGUCGCAAGACUGAAACUUAAAGGAAUUGGCGGGGGAG
rnacentral:rRNA from 1 species